rnacentral:snRNA from 1 species
AAUUUUGUGCAGUGGUAGCAUUGUGACCAAUGAGGCUUAUCCAAGGCACAAUAUUACUAAUUAAAUAUCAUAUUUCUGUUUCC